UCCAUAUACAUACCUAUAGAUUUCCCUGUUCCAGAGAAAUUUUUGUUCUUUAUAUAUGUAUGUAUGUAAAGUCAGUUAUGGAUUUGGUUUUCUGUCAUGCAAGCUGGAAAUAGAUAUCUUGGUUGUAAAACUCAUUAUAAAUUGCAUAAAAUCUGAUGGACUGGGUCUCCCCACGUCCCUAGGCCCUACACUAAAAGAUCAAUUGUAAAAAAAAAAACCAGACAACUUACAAAAAAAUAAAAAAUAAAAAAGGUCAGGGCAGGUGCGGCUAUGUGCUGCGAAUUACUGAUAUCUUAGUGGAGAUGAUAAAAAUUAUGGAAAAUAUAAAUGAAUACUGGUUUUACAUGGUUGUACUUUCAAAGCUAUUGUUUAGAAAUUUUGUAUAAGUUGGAAUUGGAGCAAGUAGUCUAAAUUUUUGCUAUGUUUUAGGCUUGUUAAGAUGCGUAUUCGAAUUUAUGGCUAGAGGAAGUAAGAGGUUGAGAUUCAUAAACAUUUCUGGUAUCAAGUGGGAUUCCUGGAGAAGAACCUGAUCUGUGAGGCAACGACUUUUCUAUUAGAUGUUUUGAAGCCAAAUCUUCCUGAACAUAGUUUCCUUCAAACAAAGAGUCUUUCAGCAGUGAGUACUUCUGGCUCAUCUUUUGCACAUCAUUUUGAUGCAAAGAUGAAGGGAUGAAGAACGAUUGAUUUAGGUACUUAUAUUGUUGUUUUCUAUUCGAAAUUAUAAUCCUAAUUUAGUGGCAAAGGUAAAUAGUUUGACGGUAGAUUAUAAGAUUAAUUCC